GACGAACGCUGGCGGCGUGCUUAACACAUGCAAGUCGAACGAUGAAGCCCAGCUUGCUGGGUGGAUUAGUGGCGAACGGGUGAGUAACACGUGAGUAACCUGCCCUCCACUCUGGGAUAACUCCGGGAAACCGGUGCUAAUACUGGAUAUGACUGCUGCCUGCAUGGGUGGUGGUGGAAAGAUUUAUCGGUGGUGGAUGGACUCGCGGCCUAUCAGCUUGUUGGUGGGGUAAUGGCCUACCAAGGCGACGACGGGUAGCCGGCCUAAGAGGGUGACCGGCCACACUGGGACUGAGACACGGCCCAGACUCCUACGGGAGGCAGCAGUGGGGAAUAUUGCACAAUGGGCGGAAGCCUGAUGCAGCGACGCCGCGUGCGGGAUGACGGCCUUCGGGUUGUAAACCGCUUUCAGCUCUGACGAAGCAUUUGUGACGUUAGGAGCAGAAGAAGCACCGGCUAACUACGUG
rnacentral:rRNA from 1 species